ACUACUCCAGGGCCGAAGUCAGCUAACUUCGAGGUUAACUCCCUCCACUUUAUCAACAGAUGCCAAGCAAGAAAUGGGAACUCAGCUUCAAUCUUGAGGAGUUGCAGCAUUUAUUCACCGACAGAACAGCUCAAACUGUACAUACACUGUACUACUAACAGUUACUGUCACAGCUAAACUACUAACUUCGUACUCUCUGCUCCAGUCGCCAGUGUCACUGUCAAACACGCUCUCACUCUCUUGAUCGACCACACACUUGUACGCAUGCAACCUACGACCAUGUUGAAACUGAAGUUUAACAGAGUUACAUCGAGCUGAACGGGUUGAGGCUACCUAGCUAGAUGGGUGGUGACGGUGUAGAGGUGACGGUAUCCUGCAAAAAUAGCCGACUUUCUGUUGAUGACAUCACGUUCCCGUUCCCUAUCACAGUCACACACGCUCUCUCUCUCGCUCUCCCUUGACCACACACACACGUCAGGCACACUUCCUACGCACUGGGCUAUUCCUUAAAGAAACUACGCCAAUUGUAUAACAACGGUGACAUUAUCAGCAGUAAGUUACAGUACAUAAGUACAACCCGUGUUAAUCGUCACUUUCACAGACGUCGGAGAGGUACAUUUAUUUUUUUAUGCUCUGUAGCUAAGCUAAGCUAAGCUAGGCUAAUUAGUAUUAGCAUAGUUUAUUAGCCAACUAUGCUAAUUAGCCUAGCAUUAGCAUCUUUGCUAAAAAAUUUUGUUGAGGAAAUAUAUUGUCAAGAAAAGAAGAAACGCAUUUUAUUGUAUUAUUCUGUCAAAAAAUAUUUUUUUAAUUGCUGGUAUUGAGUAGUAAGGCAUUAACGUUACUGAGUAACUUAUAGUAUCACAAAUGACUGAUUAUUUCUUCAGUAACGAGUAAUGUGACUGAUUACAAUUUGAAAUUCUGUCAGUAUGUAUCCUACAAUAACGCCUUCUCCUACCAGGAGUAAUUGUGAAGGUUGAUUUGAAUGUUUUCCUUGUGUUCAGUGGAGGGCUAGCUAACGUUAGCUGUUAACUUGGCGCAGGUGCUCCAGUUGAAGUUAAGUUAGAUGUUUAGCGUCCAGCAAACAAGGAGGAAUACCUCUUCCUAUACUAUUCAGUUGUUUUAUUUGCAAUUUCUGUUUUCGUAUCUGGCCCGUGAAGCUUAUAAAGUAUUUAUUCAGGGGUCACCUGGGUUUUUUUCCAGAGGUGGGAGGGUGUGAAUCCCGCAGCUUCACUGUGAGGAUGCUGCUGUGUGCAGUCCUCUUGAUUAAAGCUAACGUUAGCUGGUGAUGUCUGUGAGCUGCCCUGCAAAGCAUCAUGGGACCUCAGCUCACACUCCCUCUGAUCCAGCAGCAUCAGGGGAAGGACAGGUGGAGCUGAAGGAGGCAACAGGCUCGACCGUCUCCAGAGCAAAGGAAGAGACAUGUUGGUGCUCAUGAGACAGAAUGCAGGUUACAAGUCUAACAUGUGAACCACGUCCACCUGCAGCUCUGUAAUGACCUGACAGAUGAUGUCUCAACUCUGUAUGAAUUUAAGUAGGAAAUCUGCAUUAUGUUUAUGUCUGAGCAGAGAUUAAAUGCAAAGUGCUCUAGUGAAGGAAGGUCUGAUGAAAUAUAACUGUAAUUAAAAAAUAUUUAAUCACAGCUAACCUGACUUGACUAAAUCAACAUUAAUUCACCUAAGUGUAGAGUGCUCUGAACAUCUCUGGGUUUACUUUGUAGCAGAGCAGUUGAGUUUCUGAUGUGUGUGUUGACAUAUUUGAAAAGGUCACUAUAAAUGUGUUAAAUGCCACUUUGACAUGACAAAACCAUUUACCAUUGACUGUAACUUCCUGUAUCUUGAAAAUGAGGGCUGAGCUUAGUGUGCCAUUAAUGACUCUCAGCUAUCUCGGCACUUUAUCUACACCAGUGUUUGACAGAGAAAAUUAGAUUAGCCUUUAUGAAAAGUGGAUGAGCGGCAGUGAGAACAUUCAAGUCUCCAACCUAACAAAUCUGCCAUUACCUGAAACUGACCUUUAAAAAGGAGAGAUUUGGCUCCAAAGUGAGAUUUUUCCGUUUUGGGAGUCCUUCCUCAGAAUUUAAAGCAACUGAAAGGUAAUAUAAGGUGAUGCUUUCCCCCUAAAUUGAACCACAGAGCCAUUUAAAAACUGUACAGAAAAUCCCAGUGAUACCUUAGUAAUGAGGCAGUGUAAAGCACAUCGAGGAAUUAGACAUUUACCUGCUGCAAAACAUAUACUCAACUAAAACUCCCCUUGGCUCAUUCCAGAGUUACAUACUGUAGAAAUAUCAUGCAAUGUGACACACUGAACAGUGUAAAAAGCUUUCACAACACCUGAAUCAAACCUGGGAGGACAGUGAAGAGAAGUUACAUGUGCAUGUGAUGCCAUUGUUUUAGAGCAAGUAACAAUGACGGACAAGAUUUGAAUCCAUUUGGAGAAACAAACCCCCUAAACCCAAUCAAUCGUUAAAUCUGAUCUCUACUGGCCAAGAGAUUCAUUGAGCCUUACAACAUUUAAGCUACUGUAGGCCAGAGAAUGUAUUCAGGCUAAGAAUAUCUCAGACCUAGAGUCGGACACAUUAUCUGACCCUUCUGACAUAAUAUGGGAAAAGUGAAUGAGUAGGCUUAAAGGCUGAAAGAUCUGACCGGAGCAGUACUUUGAAUCUGCACAGUUUUAAACAAACUCUGUAAGGAAAGCUCUCUUCUUACAGAACAACUGGUUUCUAACACUGACUGGACUGAUCUGUGUGGGUUUCAUGCUGAUCAGCACAUUGAAAUGACGGUUGCAGUGGGGAAAACACAAAGUAUGCAGUUUUGCUUGUCUUCAGCAGCUGUCCUUCGCGAGCUACAGGUACAUACAUCUGUUUUGUGAGCAGUACAACUGGAAUAAAUGUUGAAGGGAGGCCUGUAUGAUGAUGCGCUCAUCAUACAAUGUGCUCUCCUCUCACUGUAGGAGACGUAAUAUGAGUGGACAGUCCUGGGAAGGAUCAGUGAGCAGUGAAUAAGUUGGCAUUCUCCAGCCGAGAAGAGAAAGUAAUGUGGCCAAGUUCAAGACAAUGUAAGCAAAAACCUGCUCUACCGUAACAAUAAGCAGACAACAAGCACGCAAUAGCUUUCAAUCUUGGCUGAAAAUAAGAUUAGACUGACAACAGCUCCACUAUCAGCAAUAUGGAUUCUGGCAGGCGUCCAAAAAGAUUAAAACAACACUGUUGUCACGGGCUGCUAUGGUUGUGUGUUAUGUUUUAUUCGUGCAUCAAGCCAAUGGCAAUUCGGUCAUUUAGUUUGUCAGGACAGAGUAACAUCAUCGCCCUUGACCGCAUGUGCUGACUGCUCUGGUAACAGGGACCCAGCUUCAGGGUCUCCAGAGGAUUCAGUGGGACUGGUUGUGAGAUGACAACAUCAGUGUUAAAAUGUCCUGGGUUUUACAAUUCCCUUCAGAGACUCUGACAGUCACUUGGAUCGUCCACUUCAUCCUGUUCGACACAGCUGCCAAUCUAGACAGAAAAUCCCAGAAAAUCACUACAGCAGUCAGACACCUGCUGUCAGUGGAUUUCGGCCCAAGCUGUGCACAGUUGCUGUCAUUUUCCCCAGAAGUCAUCCCUCUUUUAGAAGGUCCUCAGCCUCUUGCGGAAGCGUAUGGUGAACAGGCCGUAGAUGAUGGGGUCCAAGCAGGUGUUGAAAAGCCCAAAGAUGAACAGGA